rnacentral:tRNA from 3 species
GCCCGAGUAGCUCAGCCUGGGAGAGCAUCCGGCUGAAGACCGGAGUGUCGCUGGUUCAAAUCCGGCCUCGGGCACCA